CGCCUAUACAAGACAUCACACAAUUUCGAACACUACCUUAAUGUACUUGAUGAUAAAGAUGUAAUAACAAUGUCGCGGUUUAGGACAAUGAACCAUAAACUGCCAAUUGAAAAUGGUAGAUGGCAAAACAUUCCCCGAGAACAGAGAAAGUGUCCGUUGUGCAGAGUUGCUAUAGGUGACGAAUACCACUAUGUAAUGGAAUGCAGCAGUCUCUUGACAGAUAGAACACUACUUAUUGACAAGAAAUACCUAACGAACUUGAAUGUUUUAAAAUUUAAUGCUAUUAUGAACCAAAAACAGAAAUCUCUAAACUUCGAAAAUUGUGCCAAUUUAUUAGAAUUAUAAAUGAAAAACUGGAUUCUCUCUGAUGUUAACCUGUCGGCUAUACUGAUCAUACCGUUGUAAAAAACUCAUAUUUAAUGCUUCCUCAACAAAUGUACAUAUAUGCAAUGUAAUGUAAACUAAUGUGUUUUUCUGUAUACCUUUGUCCAACUUAGGUGAUACCAGAAUAAAAU
rnacentral:lncRNA from 1 species